AUUGAACGCUGGCGGCAGGCCUAACACAUGCAAGUCGAACGAGUGGCGGACGGGUGAGUAAUGUCUGGGAAACUGCCUGAUGGAGGGGGAUAACUACUGGACACGGUAGCUAAUACCGCCUACCAUCGGAUUUUCCCAGAUGGGAUUCGCUAGUAGGUGGGGUAACGGAUCGCCUAGGCGACGAUCCCUAGCUGGUCUGAGAGGAUGACCAGCCCAACUGGAACUGAGAAACGGUCCAGACGCCUACGUGAGGCAGCAGUGGGGAAUAGUGCACAAUGGGCGCAAGCCUGAUGCAGCCAUGCCGCGUGUAUGAAGAAGGCCUGCGGGUUUUAAAGUACUUGCAGCGGGGAGGCGUUACCCGCAGAAGAAGCACCGGCUAACUCCGUGCCAGCAGCCGCGGUAAUUC
rnacentral:rRNA from 1 species